rnacentral:lncRNA from 1 species
GAACACAUACAGAUUGUCUAUAGAUCUCGCUGCUCAAUUUAGGUGGACAACAAUAUCCCUGGUCGUCGUCAGCUGAAUGGUCCUUAAGAUAUAGUUUCUAGAAACUUAGGAUCAUAUAUAAUAUCUAGGAACUUAGGAUCACAUUGUCUUGUCACUUAUAGUAUGUCCUAAUUUUGUCACAAUUUUUCGUGUAUAAGUGGACAACAAUAUCGGCGAUCGACCAGACAAAGACGUGAAGAUGGAAGGUACCGACAAGCGGAUAAAGGUUGUCUAAAAACUUUGAUCCCAAUUUCUUAAAGUUAGAUAUCAUUUUAUUUUUGUUAAAUUUGUUCAUAGUUUUCCUCUAUGCACAAAUUUUAGGGGGAGAAUUAAAAAUAAUUCAAAAAUCAAACAAAAAUUAGAAAAUUAAAAAUCCAAAAAUAGUGUUAUUUCUUGUUCAGAAAAAUCAGAAAAUCCAAAAAUAUUAUCUUUCUGUUUUUAUUUUUCCAGAAAAUAUCAAAAAUCCAAAAAUAUUUUUUUUGUGUGCUAAUUUUGCUUUUAGUUUGUUUUGUCUUGAAAAGUGAUUUCAUGUAUAGGUAAGACUCAUGGAGUUUGUGUUGAAGAUUUCUGAGCCAAAGCCUCGUUCGUGAGCAUCGAAGAAUUCGCAUUCGAAGGAGCAAGAAAUGAAGACUAUUCUUCCAUCAUUAAUCUGUCAACACCAAAAGCAUGGUGAAGCUGUACUUGAAGAAUAUGUGACAAAUUACAUUGAAGCCUCCUCAAUCAAUUUGCUUCUAUCUAUGAACCUGCUGAGGUGAUCUAGAAGAUUAUUUCUCUCCGGUGUUCUCUCUGAAGAUUCUCAAGCUGAAAGUGCUAUCUUUCAAGAAUCUUUUCAUCAUGCCUCGUCGUAAUCUGUCAACACCAAAAGCAUGGUGAAGCUGUACUUGAAGAAUAUGUGACAAAUUACAUUGAAGCCUCCUCAAUCAAUUUGCUUCUAUCUAUGAACCUGCUGAGGUGAUCUAGAAGAUUAUUUCUCUCCGGUGUUCUCUCUGAAGAUUCUCAAGCUGAAAGUGCUAUCUUUCAAGAAUCUUUUCAUCAUGCCUCGUCGCCCAAUAUGCGUUCAGAGUCAAAUCUUGAAGAAAAGCCCAACCGCUCGAGAUGAAGUCAUUCAUGAAGAUUCAUCAAGUUCAUCUUGAAGCUGUGAAGAAAUCAAAGAUUAAAGCUGAAGCCAAAGCUCCCAUUGAAGAUUGACAAGAAAAGCCAGCUACUUUUUAGGGGGAGUUUGUUGGGCCAAUUAGAAAAGAAAGCUAUAAACCAAGGGGGAGAUUGUUGGGUCAAAA